AAGACUAUGCUUUCAGGGAUUAUUUCUAUAGUUUAAGACUUGAGAAAUGUGUUUGUAAAGUGCAUGGUCUCGCUGCCCACGAUGAAGAGUUUGUGAUGCUCCUUCUUAAACAUUAAGAAAGUAGAGACUUGGUUCAUCCUUGUUCUUUGUUACUGAUGACUGUUCACUGUUUCUUCAAUUGACAGUGAAGGAAGGAGUAUGAUCUGAGUGGUU
ensembl:snoRNA